CAGCAGCCGCGGUAAUACGUAGGGUGCAAGCGUUAUCCGGAAUUAUUGGGCGUAAAGAGCUCGUAGGCGGUUUGUCGCGUCUGCUGUGAAAACUGGAGGCUCAACCUCCAGCCUGCAGUGGGUACGGGCAGACUAGAGUGCGGUAGGGGAGAUUGGAAUUCCUGGUGUAGCGGUGGAAUGCGCAGAUAUCAGGAGGAACACCGAUGGCGAAGGCAGAUCUCUGGGCCGUAACUGACGCUGAGGAGCGAAAGCGUGGGGAGCGAACAGGAUUAGAUACCCCAGUAGUCCCUGUCUCUUAUAC
rnacentral:rRNA from 1 species